GACGAACGCUGGCGGCGUGCUUAACACAUGCAAGUCGAACGGAAAGGCCCUGCUUUUGUUGGGUGCUCGAGUGGCGAACGGGUGAGUAACACGUGAGUAACCUGCCUUUGACUUUGGGAUAACUUCAGGAAACUGGGGCUAAUACCCGAUAGGAUCUCCUGCUGCAUGGUGUGGGUUGGAAAGUUUCGGCGGUUGGGGAUGGACUCGCUGCUUAUCAGCUUGUUGGUGGGGUAGUGGCUUACCAAGGCUUUGACGGGUAGCCGGCCUGAGAGGGUGACCGGCCACAUUGGGACUGAGAUACGGCCCAGACUCCUACGGGAGGCAGCAGUGGGGAAUAUUGCACAAUGGGCGGAAGCCUGAUGCAGAAACGCCGCGUGCGGGAUGACGGCCUUCGGGUUAUAAACAGCUUUCGCCUGUGACGAAGAGUGAGUGACGGUAAUGGGUAAAGAAGCACCGGCUAACUACGUG
rnacentral:rRNA from 1 species